rnacentral:miRNA from 1 species
UGACAAGAAGAAGAAGAAAA